GGGACACGUGGUAUCCUGUCUGAAUAUGGGGGGACCAUCCUCCAAGGCUAAAUACUCCUGACUGACCGAUAGUGAACCAGUACCGUGAGGGAAAGGCGAAAAGAACCCCGGCGAGGGGAGUGAAAAAGAACCUGAAACCGUGUACGUACAAGCAGUGGGAGCCUCUUAAUGGGGUGACUGCGUACCUUUUGUAUAAUGGGUCAGCGACUUAUAUUCUGUAGCAAGGUUAACCGAAUAGGGGAGCCGAAGGGAAACCGAGUCUUAACUGGGCGUUAAGUUGCAGGGUAUAGACCCGAAACCCGGUGAUCUAGCCAUGGGCAGGUUGAAGGUUGGGUAACACUAACUGGAGGACCGAACCGACUAAUGUUGAAAAAUUAGCGGAUGACUUGUGGCUGGGGGUGAAAGGCCAAUCAAACCGGGAGAUAGCUGGUUCUCCCCGAAAGCUAUUUAGGUAGCGCCUCGUGAAUUCAUCUCCGGGGGUAGAGCACUGUUUCGGCAAGGGGGUCAUCCCGACUUACCAACCCGAUGCAAACUGCGAAUACCGGAGAAUGUUAUCACGGGAGACACACGGCGGGUGCUAACGUCCGUCGUGAAGAGGGAAACAACCCAGACCGCCAGCUAAGGUCCCAAAGUCAUGGUUAAGUGGGAAACGAUGUGGGAAGGCCCAGACAGCCAGGAUGUUGGCUUAGAAGCAGCCAUCAUUUAAAGAAAGCGUAAUAGCUCACUGGUCGAGUCGGCCUGCGCGGAAGAUGUAACGGGGCUAAACCAUGCACCGAAGCUGCGGCAGCGACACUAUGUGUUGUUGGGUAGGGGAGCGUUCUGUAAGCCUGUGAAGGUGGCCUGUGAGGGUUGCUGGAGGUAUCAGAAGUGCGAAUGCUGACAUAAGUAACGAUAAAGCGGGUGAAAAGCCCGCUCGCCGGAAGACCAAGGGUUCCUGUCCAACGUUAAUCGGGGCAGGGUGAGUCGACCCCUAAGGCGAGGCCGAAAGGCGUAGUCGAUGGGAAACAGGUUAAUAUUCCUGUACUUGGUGUUACU
rnacentral:rRNA from 1 species